AGAUUGUGUACUGUGUUUUACGCUUUCAGAGAUCAAUUCAUCAAGUAUUUUUGUAAAAAGUAUAUUUUUCUUCGAGUGAAUAUACAUAACACAUUUGAUCAUGUAGAUUAGUAGCAUUUUUCGUCCCAGGUUAGUAUUAUCAAGAAUAUUUUUAUUGAAAUGAUAAUGUUGCAUUGGUCUCUUUUCAGUACUCGUUUUACAUGAGCCGGAUAGAGGACAGACUGUACAUAUAACCUCGAAGCGGGCAUAAAACCAUAUAGCUACAGACACCAACUCAGACACAUUUCAAUUCACAAGAGAUGCAGACAAGAUGUGCAUCAGCAGAUACAGAUGAACACCCAAGUUGCAACAGUAACAAGAAAGAGCCUCAGACUAAGUCACUGAGCGAGGUGCAGAUGGUGUAAUAUGCCAUACAGAACAGCUUGGCAGACAAACACGAAAAGUUCUACGAAAGAAUCACAGUACAG